rnacentral:rRNA from 1 species
AUGCUAUUUGCAACUUUAGAAGAUAUACUAACUCAUAUCUCUUUCUCAACGAUUUCAAUUGUGAUUACGACUCAUUUUAUAACCUUAUUAGUUUGUGAACUUGGACGAUUACGUGAUUCGUCAGAAAAAGGAAUGAUAGUUACUUUUUUCUCUAUAACAUGAUUCUUAGUUUCUCAUUGGGCUUCCUCGGGACAUUUUCCAUUAAGUAAUUUAUAUGAGUCAUUGCUCUUCCUUUCAUGGGCCUUGUAUAUUCUCCAUACCAUUUCUAAAAUACAAAAGUCUAAAAAUGAUUUAAGCACAAUAACUACGCCAAGUACUAUUUUAACGCAAGGCUUUGCCACAUCGGGUCUUUUAACUGAAAUGCAUCAAUCCACGAUACUAGUACCUGCUCUAUAGUCUCAGUGGUUAAUUAUGCAUGUCAGUAUGAUGUUAUUAAGCUAUGCAACUCUUUUGUGUGGAUCCUUAUUAUCUGCCGCUAUUCUAAUCAUUAGAUUUCGAAAUAAUUUCCAUUUCUUUUCUAAAAAGAAAAAAUGUUUUAAAUAAAACAUUUUCUUUAGUGACAUUAAAUAUUUUUAUGAAAAAAGAAUUGCUUUAAAAAGAACCUUUGUCCCUUCAUUUCCAAAUUAUUACAAAUAUCAAUUAACGGAGCGUUUGGAUUCUUGGAGUUAUCGUGUCAUUAGCCUAGGAUUUACCCUUUUAAUCGUAGGUAUUCUUUGUGGAGCAGUAUGGGCUACUGAGGCCUCGGGAUCCUAUUGGAAUUGGGAUCCUAAGGAAACUUGGGCAUUUAUUACUUGGACCAUAUUCGCAAUUUAUUUACACAGUAGAACAAAUCCAAAUUGGAAGGGUACAAAUUCUGCACUUAUAGCUUCGAUAGGAUUUCUUAUAAUUUGGAUUUAUUAUUUUGGUAUAAAUCUAUUAGGAAUAGGCUUACAUAGUUAUUGUUCAUUUACAUUAACACCUAAAUAA